UACGGGGGGGGCGAGCGUUGUUCGGAAUCACUGGGCGUAAAGGGCGCGUAGGCGGCCCGCACAAGUCUGCGGUGAAAACCCCCGGCUUAACCGGGGGCCGGCCGUGGAAACUGUCGGGCUGGAGGCUGGGAGAGGGCAGCGGAAUUCCCGGUGUAGCGGUGAAAUGCGUAGAUAUCGAGAGGAACACCUGCGGCGAAGGCGGGUUGCUGGGCUGACACUGACGCUGAUGCGCGAAAGCCAGGGGAGCGAACGGG
rnacentral:rRNA from 1 species